rnacentral:rRNA from 1 species
CCUACGGGGGGCUGCAGUGGGGAAUAUUGGACAAUGGGGGCAACCCUGAUCCAGCCAUGCCGCGUGUGUGAAGAAGGCCCUCGGGUUGUAAAGCACUUUCAGUGAGGAAGAACGCCUGGUGGUUAAUACCCAUCAGGAAAGACAUCACUCACAGAAGAAGCACCGGCUAACUCCGUGCCAGCAGCCGCGGUAAUACGGAGGGUGCGAGCUUUAAUCGGAAUUACUGGGCGUAAAGCGCGCGUAGGUGGCUUGAUAAGCCGGUUGUGAAAGCCCCGGGCUCAACCUGGGAACGGCAUCCGGAACUGUCAAGCUAGAGUGCAGGAGAGGAAGGUAGAAUUCCCGGUGUAGCGGUGAAAUGCGUAGAGAUCGGGAGGAAUACCAGUGGCGAAGGCGGCCUUCUGGACUGACACUGACACUGAGGUGCGAAAGCGUGGGUAGCAAACAGGAUUAGAUACCCUUGUAGUC